ensembl:lncRNA
CCAACUCUCCUGGCCAGGAGGCUCCAGGUCCAUGCACAUCACCCAGCAAUACACGCAACAAACCACGUCUUGUGACCUGCUGUCACUUCCAAAAACACACACCCAGACAGGUAGGAAAGAUGCUCUGUUCUGAGUGACCGCUUUGCCUGACCCGACUUGAAAUAUUUACUGUUACAUUGCUUUUACUUCUAAUUUGAACAUAUAUUCCCCAUCGGGUUUUCUAAAUUAAAAUUCAAGCAAAUAAAACCCAUAGUAUUUCUUAAUAAAGAGUGAGAAAAGCAUCCUGGGUCAUUCCAAUGACACUGAAAGGGGAUUUACAUAAAACACAACUUUUACUUUCCAAAGGAGAAAAAAGCAGUAAUUCCCCUGGAAGUCUCACUUAGGUUUUCUUACUAGUGGGACAGUGGCAAACAUUAAAUGUUCUGCCCUUCGGGGCUUUUAAUUAAAAGCUUUAUUAAGAUAAUUUUCUUAAUUAUCCCAGCCCUAUGAGAGCCCUUGCAGCUGCCAGCAGACAAUGCAGCCCCACCUGACCACUCAGUCCUGCUCGGCACAAUAAGCAGAAAUAUGACAAUAUCCUCCACAUUAACAACCUUUCAGAAUCUCAAGGGAGAGAGACAGACUCUUUAGCGGGGUCUGUGUGACAGGACAAGGGGAAGUGGUUUUAAACUAUGAGAGGGCAGAUUUAUAUGGGAUAUAAGGAAGAAGUUUUUUAAGGAAGAAAAGUAGGAAGAGCAUAAUGUAUUUGUGCUGGACGAGUGUCCAUACAGCAUCUUUACAUCAUGCAAGGGGACCAAUUCCUCCAUGCAAUGCAGCACUGCUCCAUCCAUGCACCAUCUGCAGGGAUUGCUCCUGGCCCCACAGAUACCAGCAACAUCCAGAGCACCAAACGAGCACAGAAACCAAAUCAUUCAGUGCCAUUUCACACCGCUCUCACUAAAUCCUUUCUGCAAAGCGUGAGCUGCCUGUAGCUGUCUCCUCCUGCUCUUCAGGCACCAAGGGCUGUCACCAACUUUGUCCUUGGAACAUUUGCUCAGCUCACAGGCUGGCAGUUGUUUGCCUACAGAUCUGAUAGCAAACAACAUUUUUUUCCCCCGAAGUUUUCAGUCCCAGGUUUGUGCAUUCUGUUCCCCUUCAUUCUGUUUUCUCUCCCUCUUUGUAGCCUCCUCCUUCCUCCUUUCCUCCUGUGCUGUUCACAGCACAUCUCCCAUUCUCUUUCCUUCAGCAAGAUUCCUUCCUUCUCCUCCUCCUUGCUUUGUUUCUAAAACACACAGCUCUCUCUGCCUCCUCCCCCUGGUAUCAGUUUUGGCAGAUGUCUGUUUGGAGCUCUCUUGGCCGCCUCCUGCCAUCAAUUCUAAACUUCUGUCAGCAAUAAAACACUCAAAUCUAAAAUUAAACGUUUGCUUUGGACAGAAAACAUUUUUCAUCACGUUUUUUUCUUUUUUCCUGCUCGCCUUCGUUCUCAGGACAGCACGAAUUCUCAUAUUCAGAACUGCUGAAGUUGGCCACAGAGCUGUACCAAAGCAAUGCCACACCCUAAAUGCAGACCAGCCCAAGCAAUACAGUACCAGCUUUAGCCUCAAGAGCUGAGUAUCAGGGGUGAGUAGAGCCCCAGCGAGGCAUUCUGGCUUUGUUUCAGAAAGAGCUAUUGCAAUACAAUGCACUUUUCCUUCCCCCGUGUGUUCACAGGGCUAUGGGUUUUCCCCAUACAGCAGGGCUGCUCCCCUGCUCUUUCCCCUCCAACUGAACGUAACACAUCAUUACACUCUCCUCCAGUAGUAAACACUGUGCUCUUGCCCCUCCUUACUCUCUCACAUGGACGCUCAGCUCAAGGUUUUAUGGCUUAAUGUGCCCUUCAGUGUACAGUCAUGUGGUCAGGUCCAACUGUUCUGGUGAUGUAAUGCAAUAUGGCAAACAUUUAUGUGUUACUGUAAGUUUCAGAAAGAACUUUUGUGUUCUCCUGAGUGUCCCGUGGGAGAGGAUUUAAGUUUCCAACAGUUUGCAGAAAGCAGUAGAGCUGAAAGAGGCAAAGCAACUACAGCACAAGAAGGACUUCCCAAGAUGCUAUAUACUUUUUAUUUUAACUUGAAGCUCUCUCCUGGAAGAGCAGUGGACUUUGCAUGAAAGAACUGCAGUACUGCUGAGAACACAGCUGAGCAUUUCUACUAUUUGUGGCACACUGGGUCCUGAAGGAAGUGGGACACGGCGCCUGGGAGCGAUGCCAGCCAGGCGAGCUCACGGGAUAGAAAACAUGGGAAAAUCCUCACAGCAGAGCACAUCGCUGCCAGAAGUCUGCCUGCGAGGUAAAUCAAUUCUUGGAUACUACUUGGAAACUUGGAUACUACAGAGCGAGAGACGCACGCUGGCACCACACACAACCUGCAGAGUUUCACUGUGUGUCCGUUCCUGUGGAUCUGAGUGAGUGAAUACAUCCCCUGCAACACGGGGACAUUUGGAGCACGGGAGCACUCAACACCACUCGACCUCCGAUGCUCUGAUUUGGAUCAGUUUGGUCUCCAGUACAAAGGAGCCCACAAUGCUCUUCCUCUGUGCCAAGAAAACCCAACAGCCAGGGAGC